UGCGGAUUGAUGUAAUAGUAGCAUAAUUGGCUCAUGUCCAGUAUAUAGAGGUGCAAAUCCUUUAUCCGCGU
rfam:Diplodia seriata DS_831_scaffold_v01_67, whole genome shotgun sequence.